rnacentral:rRNA from 1 species
AUUGAACGCUGGCGGCAGGCUUAACACAUGCAAGUCGAGCGAGCGGCGGACGGGUGAGUAAUGUCUGGGAAACUGCCUGAUGGAGGGGGAUAACUACUGGAAACGGUAGCUAAUACCGCAUACCAUCGGAUGUGCCCAGAUGGGAUUAGCUAGUAGGUGGGGUAAAGGCUCACCUAGGCGACGACCCCUAGCUGGUCUGAGAGGAUGACCAGCCACACUGAAACUGAGAACGGGUCCAGACCCAAAGGGGAGGCAGAAGUGGGGAAUAUUGAACAAUGGGCGCAAGCCUGAUGCAGCCAUGCCGGGUGUGUGAAGAAGGCCUGCGGGUUGUAAAGCACUUUCAGCGAGGAGGCGUUACUCGCAGAAGAAGCACCGGCUAACUCCGUGCAAGCAGCGGCGGUAUUC